UAGGCGGUUUGUCGCNUCUUCCGUGAAAACUNNGAGNUNANUCCGGGCGUGCGGGCGAUACNGGCAGACNUGAGUACUACAGGGGAGACUGGAAUUCCUGGUGUAGCNGUGAAAUGCGCAGAUAUCAGGAGGAACACCGGUGGCGAAGGCGGGUCUCUGGGUAGUAACUGACGCUGAGGAGCGAAAGCAUGGGUAGCGAACAGGAUUAGAUACCCUGGUAGUCCAUGCCGUAAACGGUGGGCGCUAGGUGUGGGGGUCUUCCACGACUUCCGUGCCGUAGCUAACGCAUUAAGCGCCCCGCCUGGGGAGUACGGCCGCAAGGCUAAAACUCAAAGGAAUUGACGGGGGCCCGCACAAGCGGC
rnacentral:rRNA from 1 species